rnacentral:rRNA from 1 species
UACGUAGGGUGCGAGCGUUUGUUCGGAAUCAUUGGGCGUAAAGCGUGAGUAGGUGGUUUGCUAAGUCGGGUGUGAAAUCCCUGGGCUCAACCCAGGAAGUGCAUUCGAAACUAGCUCACUUGAAGAUGGUAGAGGAAGGUGGAAUUCCAAGUGUAGAGGUGAAAUUCGUAGAUAUUUGGAGGAAUACCGGUGGCGAAGGCGGCAUCCUGGACCAUAACGUGACGCUGAGGCGGCGAAAAGCUGAGGG